UCUUUCCAGGCAGGAGCUCCCU
rnacentral:miRNA from 1 species